GCACAUUCCUCGCAUUCUAGGAUUGAGAUAUACAGUUUGGUUCUUGUGGGGGCAGCCAGGGCGGGGGAGGAGGGCAGAGAACAUCCCAGAGAUCAAGACUGCUGUUCUUGCUCCCUCCCUGACUGACUUGGCCCACACUGACUGGCCUGCCACCCCUUUACAGUGAUCUCCACCCAGUCUCUCUCUGCAAAGGCCUCCCUUGGCUCUCUGAUAAAGUUGGAGCUGUGGGUGCAGCAUUUCACUUCGACCUGGCAGCAUCAAUGAGCCAGCUCUUCACUGGGGAACAUGCAAACCCCCAGCUGCUGGUGUGCAGGAAAAGAAUCCAGGAGAUCACCUGAUGAAGCCCAGCAUUUUACAGAGCAAAGUCGUGAAAGGACCCUGGUGAAAGGCCCAAAGAACAGGAGGUGUGAGCCAAGAGAAGGUGGGGUCCUGCCAGGCCUAUGUUGCAGGCUAUUUGGAGGCUGAACUUGAGGAAGACAGAUGUCAGCUUUCUGAAGAAAGUGUCAAGCAUUUGUCCCUUACAAGGACUGGGAAGAAAGAGCACACAUUUUCCCUGUUGCCCUGCCCUUGACAUAUUUAUAACAUCCCAGGACUGGCCCUGACCAUCCUCUUCCAAGUAACGGAAUGUCAAGAUGACUGCAGAGAUUAUGCUGUGAGUGGAAAAGCUUUAUAGUAAGCUGAGGUGAUCACCAGCCUCCCUGAGCUAAAAUAAUCACAGGCUUUUUUUCUUAGUGACCCCUGUCCUACUCUCAGGCACCUUAUAUCCUCAAAUCUUAAAUAGAGUUAAGAGAUUGGGCA